GCUUAGAAGCAGCCAUCCUUGAAAGAGUGCGUAAUAGCUCACUGGUCAAGUGAUUUCGCGCCGACAAUGUAGCGGGGCUUAAGCGUACCGCCGAAGCUGUGGCAGCAACACGUAUAGCUGGCGUCAUUGAAUGAUUGUUGGUGUGUUGUUGGGUAGGGGAGCGUCCUGCAUGAGGUGAAGCCUGGGGGGAACCUCUGGUGGAUUGUGUGGGAGUGAGAAUGCAGGCAUGAGUAGCGAAUCUGCGGUGAGAAUCCGCAGCGCCGAUUGACUAAGGGUUCCAGGGCUAGGUUUAUCCGCCCUGGGUUAGUCGGGUCCUAAGGCGAGGCCGACAGGCGUAGUCGAUGGAUAACCAGUUGAUAUUCUGGUACCGCCUAGCAACCGUCCAAUACCGAGAUCAUCAUGCUAACCAAUUUUGCCGGCCAAUACUCGUAUCCUUCGGGGUAUGUUUUGCGGUUGGUCUUGGGACCCGGUGGUGGAGGUAAGCGUAUUAACAGGGGUGACGCAGAAAGGUAGCUGCAGUGGGCUGAUGGUUUAGCCUACUUAAGGUUGUGGCCCGUUUUUCAGGUAAAUCCGGAAAACAUGUGGGUGAGAACUGAUGAGGGACGCUUUUAGAGUGGACUUGUGGUGAUCCUAAGCUGCCGAGAAAAGCCUCGACGCGAGGGGGCAAGGCGCCCGUACCCUAAACCGACUCAGGUGGUCAGGUAGAGUAUACCGAGGCGUUCGAGUGAAUCAUGGUCAAGGAACUCGGCAAAAUUCCUCCGUAACUUCGGGAUAAGGAGGACCCCGUGGUUUCCCAACGCCUAGCGUGUUGGUGGGGCCGUGGGGUCGCAGAGAAUAGGGAGAAGCGACUGUUUAUCAAAAACACAGGUGCGUGCGAAGCCGUAAGGCGAUGUAUACGCACUGACGCCUGCCCGGUGCUGGAAGGUUAAGAGGAACCGUUAACAUUCUUUGUGGGUGUGAAGCGGUGAAUUUAAGCCCCAGUAAACGGCGGUGGUAACUAUAACCAUCCUAAGGUAGCGAAAUUCCUUGUCGGGUAAGUUCCGACCUGCACGAAUGGCGUAACGACUUCUCCGCUGUCUCAACCGCGAACUCGGUGAAAUUGCAGUACGAGUAAAGAUGCUCGUUUCGCGCAGAAGGACGGAAAGACCCCGGGACCUUUACUAUAGCUUGGUAUUGGUGUUCGCUUGGACUUGUGUAGGAUAGGUGGGAGACUGUGAAGCUGCCGCGCCAGCGGUGGUGGAGUCGUCGUUGAAAUACCAUUCUGGUUUAAGCGGUCACCUUAACCUUGGCCCGUGAUCCGGGUUGGGGACAGUGCCUGGUGGGUAGUUUAACUGGGGCGGUUGCCUCCUAAAAUGUAACGGAGGCGCUCAAAGGUUCCCUCAGCCUGGUUGGUAAUCAGGUGGCGAGUGCAAGUGUACAAGGGAGCUUGACUGUGAGACCGACGGGUCGAGCAGGUGCGAAAGCAGGAACUAGUGAUCCGGCCAUGGCACGUGGGUGCGUGGUCGCUCAACGGAUAAAAGGUACCCCGGGGAUAACAGGCUGAUCUUGCCCAAGAGUCCAUAUCGACGGCAUGGUUUGGCA
rnacentral:rRNA from 1 species